rnacentral:rRNA from 1 species
UGCAUAUCAAUAAGCGGAGGAAAAGAAACCAACAGGGAUUGCCCCAGUAACGGCGAGUGAAGCGGCAACAGCUCAAAUUUGAAAUCUGGCCCCCCCCGGGGGGCCCGAGUUGUAAUUUGCAGAGGAUGCUUUGGGCGAGGCGCCUUCCGAGUUCCCUGGAACGGGACGCCACAGAGGGUGAGAGCCCCGUCUGGUCGGACGCCGAGCCUCUGUAAAGCUCCUUCGACGAGUCGAGUAGUUUGGGAAUGCUGCUCAAAAUGGGAGGUAUAUGUCUUCUAAAGCUAAAUACCGGCCAGAGACCGAUAGCGCACAAGUAGAGUGAUCGAAAGAUGAAAAGCACCUUGAAAAGGGGGUUAAACAGUACGUGAAAUUGUUGAAAGGGAAGCGCUCGUGACCAGACUUGGGGCGGGCGG